CUCAACUUGUGAAAUCCAACUAUAUAUUGCUUAAAAACUAUUAGGCUUGUACACGUUUGUUCCACCUCCUCCCGCAUAGAGGAUCCCAGAUAGAGACAUCAGCAUUUUACACAACUGCAUUUAACUGAUAGUAACCAUACUUUUGGAGUAUUUAUGCCAAGAAGAAGGAAGAUAUGGACAUUGCGUCCCACAGGUGAUAACCUAUAGCAACGAAACAAGAAGAUAUAGAAAGAACAACGAACCAUAUGGAUAUAAGAAAUAUAAAGGGGUGCCUUUUAUUUUACAGGUGCCUACAAAAGGUUGUUCAUAAAUGUAUUGCUAUUUUUCCAGUGAUUAGAUAAUGCAUAUAUAGUUCUUUGAAAAUGAUGUUGCCAUCCUGGCAAUGGACAUAUAUACCCCGGGUUUUUGCUAUCUGUCUUGGGUUUUUUGAUUAAUGACAUAAUGGGUCAUGGGACCCCUUUAC